GAGUAAACAAACAUGUCAGCUAAUUUGUUGUUGGUGACAUUUGUCAGUUAGCUAAUGUCAGCUGACAUUUUGUGUCACGGAUCCACUACUGCCAUCUGACUUUUGCCGUGUCAGGUAGACACAUCAAUCAUCAAUGUCCGCCCAACUACGAUGGACGCUGCGAUCCCAUGUGAUGUUUAUGUACCUAAUCGGUGCUGCAGGUGUUAGAAAUUAUAAGCAGUUUGAUGAGCAAAUGUCCUGGAAUGAUGCCAGA